AUGCUAGGAUACAUUAGCACAUCCAACUCACUAGAAGGCAAAAAUACGGAAUUUCCAUGUUUUAUCUAUGAAGACAUACUUUCAGGAACAAAUUUUUUUGCGGAUUCCAAUUUGCUUGGACGUGGAGGUUUUGGCAAAGUUUACAAGGGCACAAUGGAAGGUGGAAAAGAAGUUGCUGUCAAAAGGCUUAGUAAGAGUUCUGGGCAAGGUAUAGUGGAGUUCAAAAAUGAAGUAGUUCUCAUUGCAAAACUGCAGCACAAGAAUCUAGUCAAACUUCUCGGCUGCUGCAUUCAUGAAGAUGAGAAGUUAUUGGUCGACGAGUACAUAACUAAAAAAAGUUGGACGCCUUUCUUUUUGAUCAUGCACGAAAACAUGUGCUCGAUUGGUUGA
rnacentral:rRNA from 1 species